GGGGGACUACCCGCUGAACUUAAGCAUAUCAAUAAGCGGAGGAAAA
rnacentral:rRNA from 1 species